AAUAUUGCACAAUGGAGGAAACUCUGAUGCAGCGACGCCGCGUGAACGAUGAAGGCUUNCGAGUCNUNAAGUUCUGUCCUAGGGGNCGAUAAUGACGGUACCCUAGGAGGAAGCCCCGGCUAACUACGUGCCAGCAGCCGCGGUAAUACGUAGGGGGCAAGCGUUGUCCGGAUUUAUUGGGCGUAAAGGGUUCGCAGGCGGCCUUUUAAGUCAGAUGUGAAAGACUACAGCUCAACUGUGGUAAGCAUUUGAAACUGAAAGGCUUGAGUUAAGGAGAGGAAAGUGGAAUUCCUAGUGUAGCGGUGAAAUGCGUAGAUAUUAGGAGGAGUACCAGUGGCGAAGGCAGCCCCCUGGGAUAAUACUGACGCUCAGACACGAAAGCGUGGGGAGCAAACAGG
rnacentral:rRNA from 1 species